CCUACGGGGGGCUGCAGUGGGGAAUAUUGGACAAUGGGCGAAAGCCUGAUCCAGCCAUGCCGCGUGUGUGAAGAAGGCCUUCGGGUUGUAAAGCACUUUCAGUGGGGAAGAAAGCCUUGGGGCUAAUACCCUCGAGGAAGGACAUCACCCACAGAAGAAGCACCGGCUAACUCCGUGCCAGCAGCCGCGGUAAUACGGAGGGUGCGAGCGUUAAUCGGAAUUACUGGGCGUAAAGCGCGCGUAGGCGGUCUGAUAAGCCGGUUGUGAAAGCCCCGGGCUCAACCUGGGAACGGCAUCCGGAACUGUCAGGCUAGAGUGCAGGAGAGGAAGGUAGAAUUCCCGGUGUAGCGGUGAAAUGCGUAGAGAUCGGGAGGAAUACCAGUGGCGAAGGCGGCCUUCUGGACUGACACUGACGCUGAGGUGCGAAAGCGUGGGUAGCAAACAGGAUUAGAUCCCCGGGUAGUC
rnacentral:rRNA from 1 species